rnacentral:rRNA from 1 species
GAAGUUUUCGGAUGGAAUCAGUAUAACUUAGUGGCGGACGGGUGAGUAACGCGUGGGAAACCUGCCCUGUACCGGGGGAUAACACUUAGAAAUAGGUGCUAAUACCGCAUAAGCGCACGGAACCGCAUGGUUCCGUGUGAAAAACUCCGGUGGUACAGGAUGGUCCCGCGUCUGAUUAGCCAGUUGGCAGGGUAACGGCCUACCAAAGCGACGAUCAGUAGCCGGCCUGAGAGGGUGAACGGCCACAUUGGGACUGAGACACGGCCCAAACUCCUACGGGAGGCAGCAGUGGGGAAUAUUGCACAAUGGGGGAAACCCUGAUGCAGCGACGCCGCGUGAGUGAAGAAGUAUUUCGGUAUGUAAAGCUCUAUCAGCAGGGAAGAAAAUGACGGUACCUGACUAAGAAGCCCCGGCUAACUACGUGCCAGCAGCCGCGGUAAUACGUAGGGGGCAAGCGUUAUCCGGAUUUACUGGGUGUAAAGGGAGCGUAGACGGCAUGGCAAGCCAGAUGUGAAAACCCAGGGCUCAACCUUGGGAUUGCAUUUGGAACUGCCAGGCUGGAGUGCAGGAGAGGUAAGCGGAAUUCCUAGUGUAGCGGUGAAAUGCGUAGAUAUUAGGAGGAACACCAGUGGCGAAGGCGGCUUACUGGACUGUAACUGACGUUG